UGGGGAGGUUACAGAUCCUAAUGUUGAUGUAUUUGAUCGUGAAAAGGUCUUCAUUGACACUGUUUUACAGCCCUUAAUGAAAAGGCUUCCGCAUCUAAAGGUUGUAAUGGAGCAUAUCACUACAAUGGAUGCUGUUAAGUUUGUUGAGUCUUGUGAUGAUGGAUUUGUGGCAGCAACCGUUACUCCUCAGCAUCUUGUUCUCA
rnacentral:misc_RNA from 1 species